rnacentral:rRNA from 1 species
CAGCCGCCGCGGGAAUACGUAGGUGGCAAGCGUUGUCCGGAAUUAUUGGGCGUAAAGGGCUCGCAGGCGGUUUCUUAAGUCCGAUGUGAAAGCCCCCGGCUCAACCGGGGAGGGUCAUUGGAAACUGGGAAACUUGAGUGCAGAAGAGGAGAGUGGAAUUCCACGUGUAGCGGUGAAAUGCGUAGAGAUGUGGAGGAACACCAGUGGCGAAGGCGACUCUCUGGUCUGUAACUGACGCUGAGGAGCGAAAGCGUGGGGAGCGAACAGGAUUAGAUACCCCUGUAGUCCCUGUCUCUUAUAA